UGGGGAAUUUUGGACAAUGGGCGAAAGCCUGACCCAGCCAUGCCGCGUGAGUGAAGAAGGCCUUCGGGUUGUAAAGCUCUUUCAGCCGGAAAGAAAUCGCGCAGGAUAAUACUCUGCGUGGAUGACGGUACCGGAAGAAGAAGCACCGGCUAACUACGUGCCAGCAGCCGCGGUAAUACGUAGGGUGCGAGCGUUAAUCGGAAUUACUGGGCGUAAAGCGUGCGCAGGCGGUUUAGUAAGACAGGCGUGAAAUCCCCGGGCUCAACCUGGGAACUGCGCUUGUGACUGCUAAGCUAGAGUACGGCAGAGGGGGGUGGAAUUCCACGUGUAGCAGUGAAAUGCGUAGAUAUGCGGAGGAACACCGAUGGCGAAGGCAAUCCCCUGGACCUGUACUGACGCUCAUGCACGAAAGCGUGGGGAGCAAACA
rnacentral:rRNA from 1 species